AACAUCGCCUCUUGAUCAAAUAUAAGAGGUCCAGCCUGCCCAGUGACUCUGUUCAACGGCCGCGGUAUCCUAACCGUGCGAAGGUAGCGUAAUCACUUGUUCUUUAAAUCAGGACUAGUAUGAAUGGCACCACGAAGGUUAUACUGUCUCCUUUUUCUAAUCAGUGAAACUAAUCUCCCCGUGAAGAAGCGGGGAUGAUCUUAUAAGACGAGAAGACCCUAUGGAGCUUUAAACUAAAUAACACCUGCUUUUAUUUUUAGUAUUUCAGAAUAACCAAUACUUAUUCUAGCUUCAUGAUUAUUAGUUUUAGGUUGGGGUGACCGCGGAGAAAAAGACAACCUCCACAUUGAAUGGGAUUUUAAACCCCUGAGCCACGAACCACGACUCCAUGCACCAAUAAACUGACAUCAAUUUGACCCAAUAUUUUUGAUCAACGAACCAAGUUACCCUAGGGAUAACAGCGCAAUCCGCUUCAAGAGCUCCUAUCGACAAGCGGGUUUACGACCUCGAUGUUGGAUCAGGGUAUCCCAGUGGUGCAGCCGCUACUAAAGGUUCGUUUGUUCAACGAUUAAAACCCUACGUGA
rnacentral:rRNA from 1 species